rnacentral:tRNA from 26 species
UGGCCCGUUGGUCAAGUGGUUAAGACACCGCCCUUUCACGGCGGUAACACGGGUUCGAAUCCCGUACGGGUCAUC